CCAAGUCAUGAAGGAAUCUAUCAGUGGAAUCUGGUGGCUCACAGCCACAAUUUUACACGGUGAUCGUCGACGGCCUUCCACUUUCCAACCCUAUAUAACUGUGCUCCGUCCUGGCCGCCGCCGUCAACGUCUCCGUUUCCCUCCUGGGUUCUGUCACCUUGCGGCGAAAGAAAGUGUAUGGGAAGGAGGAGUGGGUAUUGAUAGGUUGCAAAGAGGACACUCAUUAUGACAAGACUCUUAUACUUUCUUUGCCUUUCAAAUGUCAUCUCCCUCACUCCAUUAUCCACAACUAACUAAUGUUUCAAAUCUUUGGGGUCCAGAAAGAAGAGCAUAGAGUUUGUUUGCAAGCCCAGCAGCAAAUGAGAAAGAAGGAAGAUAAUGAGGUGUGAAUAGCUACCCAUUUUUAUUCAAACCCGUGACAAUCUCAUUGAAAGCUACUUAAUGACGGUGAAGGA